GGUCAAGCUGUGUGCAAUUAAGAAUUUCAGUGUACAAAAUGGGAUCUGCGGCUUUGUCUCCUCCAUCCUGCGCCACCAUUAAACUGAAGGUCCCUAGCUCGGCAAUCUGCUAGCCACGCCUGAUUGCGUUCGGCGCUCGCCUCUCUGCCCUUGCACCUGCGUACUACGGCGCCUGCCCGUCGUCGCGGCCCGGAUCGGGAAGUGUCAAGCGGGAGCUGGGUUCCCCCGCCUUUGCCGCUAUCACCGCUGACCCCCCGGACCCCAACUCCAGGCCCGGGCCCAGCCGCCAUGACGAACGAUGCAGAUCUGAGAGACUUGGCCAAAUAUCUACCUCUCCUUUAUCACAUGAGUGAUUUAUAGGAAGAACAUGUUUCAUUCUCUCAGCUCAGGCUCGAAGGAUUCUUAUGCCUCUCUCAACCUAAUGCCAACACUGGCCAUUCCUGUGUACUCCUUGGAUGGGAUUCUGGUGUUUGGUUUGCUCUUUGUUUGCACCUGUGCCUACUUCAAGAAAGUACCUCGUCUCAAAAGCUGGCUGCUGUCAGAGAAGAAGGGAGUUUGGGGUGUGUUUUACAAAGCUGCUGUGAUUGGAACUAGGCUGCAUGCUGCUGUAGCAAUCGCCUGCGUUGUAAUGGCCUUCUACGUCCUGUUUAUAAAAUGAAUUCCAAAGCAUCCAUUUCAUCAACUGCCAACCAAGGGGACGAAGGUGAAGAGCCUGUCAGGAACCUGGGCCCAGCGUAGGAGAGUUCAGCUAAAAUCAUCAAAGUCCCCAGGAUGACACCACAGCAUCUGCCCCUACGUUAUGUGGGGAAAACUCCUCGUGGUUACAAACAUUAUUUAUGCUUCAGGGGACUACAGAAAGCCAGCUUCCUUUGACCUGUGUGUAAAUCAGUCCUCAGCAGAGAGCCUAUAAUGUCCAGAUAAAUUACACCCCUCAGUGAUACGAUUACAUACCUCCUGCUGAAAAAUCUGUCACCUAUUUUGUUCUUCAGCCCCUCAUCAGGAACUUUUCACACUGAGGCUUAUUAGGGGAGGAUAUAAGCUGUAUUCAAACUUCUUGGAAGGAGAGAUAAUUUUCAAGACUUGACUUUUUUUUUUUUAGUGUUUGAUUUGGAUUUGGCAAAUUGCAGGGGGCUGGGAGGCUGGGGUGGGGAGGCUGGGUGGGAAAUAGGAGUUAAACAAUGCCAAGGAAUAUUUUGGCUUUGGAAAUUUAUCUUUCAUAUACCCGUCUGGGCACAUAAGAGAGAGGCAUGAUCCUCAUUGCAAAAAGAGAACAGACGAAAUAGCUGUGCUGUGUGCUGGUAGCCAGAGAGUUUUGCCAAGAGAAUCUGGGCCUAAGUAAGAUUUGGAAAUUGUCUGUGAUGAAACCAGAAAGGAGUAACUUAGACAAGAAACAAUGUUCUAUUCACCAGUAUUCCCAAAAGGAAACUUCACCCCCUCAAAUGGUAUAUUGAAACUGUUGCUAUUUUCCUAAAGCUUUUUAAAUAUUUUCUAAAUUACUGAGUGCUAAAUACUGUUACUCAGUUUUAAAUGCCACCACUAGGGGAAAGAGAAACUAUUGAAGAAAUAAUUUGCAGUUGGGGUAGAAGAAAUAAAUAAAUCUAGUAUAUUAAUUCAUAUACUAGUAAAGUCAUCUAGAAUUUAUUGUGAUGUUAGAUGGAAGUUCUGUCAUAUUAACCAAGAUACAAACUUAUUCUUUGUUUAACUCUGGGUUAUUAUGGCAAUUUUCAGUCGAUUACUUGUGUUUCUUGGCCCACUUUUAAUUUUCUUCAUAUUGUAGUAUUCUUUAGCUGUCUCUUGGAAAUUAUAAGAACAUGGGAAAUUUGAAUGAGAGAAGUUGAUGGCAUUCAUAGGCAUGUUUGGACAGUUCAGAGAAUCCAUGAAUAAAAUGAGAGUGUUUUCUAAAGUAAAGGAAAGCAGAGGUUUGCAAUUGGGAUUGAUGGGCUUUUCCAUGGAGUAUGGGAACUCCUGAGCAAAUCAUUUUCGAUGACUCUACAUUUGAAGGGAAGACUUCUCCAUUCCCUCCUCCUUUUAUCUGCAAAAGGAUCAACUGUUGGAUUUAUGAAGCCUAGAACUUCUCUAUUAAAAAAAAAAAGAGUUGGUCUAAAAUUAAAUUAUCGUAAAGAGCAAGCAGAGACAUAGGUCUACCAGUGGAAUUGUUCACUAAGGUAAAACUUGACUGUGGACAAGUUGGCUGUGGUUGACCCCAGUGUGGCAGUAAAUUGUCUUUUGUCUUAUUCCAAAAGAACAAAAGCUGCUAGGAAGUUUAGGUUCUGAAACAUGCAGUUUAGUGCUUUGACGGUUCCUAGAAGUAUAGAAAGUCAUCAAGUAAACACUGCAUGUCUAAUCAUCUCAGAGUUAUGGUUGUUAUCUCUUCAGGAAUUGGUCCACAGGGUAAAUUUCAAUGAUUCAUAUAUUUUUCAUUGUCAUUUCUGAGGAUCUUUCACACAAGAGAAAGGAAAGCUAGUGGAACAGAAAGAAGAGUUACACCUUGUGGGUGUGAGUUUGGAACCUGUUGGCCAACGGGAAUGUCACUCUCUGGAAAUACAGGUUCAGCAUGUUUUGCACUUGUUAUUUUGUAGCUUUAAUGACUUUUGUUUCCUAAUAGGGCUAAUAUCUCUAAGCUUGGUGUUUAGAGCUUCUUCAUAUUUUAAACUAGUCCCAUUUCACAGUUCAGAUCAAUUUUUACAGACUCCUGGGUGGGUCAUCUUGACCUAAACUCUUGAACUGUUAUAUUUUGAGAUGUUUUCAUACCAGAAUGUACCAAAAAGUACACAGAGUGAAGGUAAUUUACAGCAAGAAGCAAAUACACAGCUUAUUUCAUUUCUUGACUUUAGAUAAGCAGAAACUUGUUUAAUUCAUUACUUUGGUUGAUGUGUCAUAUAUUUUUGACUGAAAAUUGUAGGAAGUUGUUCCUCUAAGGGAGUCUUUUAGGGGUGGAAGAAGGGGGAUAGCAGUGUUGCCUCAGAUUCAAACUGGCAUCACCAUAAACCCUGUAUGCCAGGGUGGAAUGAAGUCAGCUUUUUAUAGUUGAAAUAAGACUUUUUAUUCACCAUUGUCUGCACAAAUCCUUGAAAAUAAAGUUUCUUUCCCUAC